UACGGAGGGUGCGAGCGUUAUUCGGAAUUACUGGGCGUAAAGCGCGUGUAGGCGGCAGGGCAAGUCUGGUGUGAAAGCCCAGGGCUUAACCCUGGAAGGGCACUGGAAACUGUGCGGCUUGAGUGCCGGAGAGGAGGGGGGAAUUCCCGGUGUAGCGGUGAAAUGCGUAGAUAUCGGGAGGAAUACCGGUGGCGAAGGCGCCCCUCUGGACGGUAACUGACGCUGAGGCGCGAAAGCGUGGGGAGCAAACAGG
rnacentral:rRNA from 1 species